rnacentral:lncRNA from 1 species
ACAUUUAUCCUACUAAAAGUAUUGGAGAAAGAAAUUCGUACAUCUAGGAGCUAUAGAACUAGUACCGCAAGGGAAAGAUGAAAGACUAAUUAAAAGUAAGAACAAGCAAAGAUUAAACCUUGUACCUUUUGCAUAAUGAACUAACUAGAAAACUUCUAACUAAAAGAAUUACAGCUAGAAACCCCGAAACCAAACGAGCUACCUAAAAACAAUUUUAUGAAUCAACUCGUCUAUGUGGCAAAAUAGUGAGAAGAUUUUUAGGUAGAGGUGAAAAGCCUAACGAGCUUGGUGAUAGCUGGUUACCCAAAAAAUGAAUUUAAGUUCAAUUUUAAACUUGCUAAAAAAACAACAAAAUCAAAAAGUAAGUUUAGAUUAUAGCCAAAAGAGGGACAGCUCUUCUGGAACGGAAAAAACCUUUAAUAGUGAAUAAUUAACAAAACAGCUUUUAACCAUUGUAGGCCUAAAAGCAGCCACCAAUAAAGAAAGCGUUCAAGCUCAACAUAAAAUUUCAAUUAAUUCCAUAAUUUACACCAACUUCCUAAACUUAAAAUUGGGUUAAUCUAUAACUUUAUAGAUGCAACACUGUUAGUAUGAGUAACAAGAAUUCCAAUUCUCCAGGCAUACGCGUAUAACAACUCGGAUAACCAUUGUUAGUUAAUCAGACUAUAGGCAAUAAUCACACUAUAAAUAAUCCACCUAUAACUUCUCUGUUAACCCAACACCGGAAUGCCUAAAGGAAAGAUCCAAAAAGAUAAAAGGAACUCGGCAAACAAGAACCCCGCCUGUUUACCAAAAACAUCACCUCUAGCAUUACAAGUAUUAGAGGCACUGCCUGCCCAGUGACUAAAGUUUAACGGCCGCGGUAUCCUGACCGUGCAAAGGUAGCAUAAUCACUUGUUCCUUAAUUAGGGACUAGCAUGAACGGCUAAACGAGGGUCCAACUGUCUCUUAUCUUUAAUCAGUGAAAUUGACCUUUCAGUGAAGAGGCUGAAAUAUAAUAAUAAGACGAGAAGACCCUAUGGAGCUUAAAUUAUAUAACUUAUCUAUUUAAUUUAUUAAACCUAAUGGCCCAAAAACUAUAGUAUAAGUUUGAAAUUUCGGUUGGGGUGACCUCGGAGAAUAAAAAAUCCUCCGAAUGAUUAUAACCUAGACUUACAAGUCAAAGUAAAAUCAACAUAUCUUAUUGACCCAGAUAUAUUUUGAUCAACGGACCAAGUUACCCUAGGGAUAACAGCGCAAUCCUAUUUAAGAGUUCAUAUCGACAAUUAGGGUUUACGACCUCGAUGUUGGAUCAGGACAUCCCAAUGGUGUAGAAGCUAUUAAUGGUUCGUUUGUUCAACGAUUAAAGUCCUACGUGAUCUGAGUUCAGACCGGAGCAAUCCAGGUCGGUUUCUAUCUAUUUACGAUUUCUCCCAGUACGAAAGGACAAGAGAAAUAGAGCCACCUUACAAAUAAGCGCUCUCAACUUAAUUUAUGAAUAAAAUCUAAAUAAAAUAUAUACGUACACCCUCUAACCUAGAGAAGGUUAUUAGGGUGGCAGAGCCAGGAAAUUGCGUAAGACUUAAAACCUUGUUCCCAGAGGUUCAAAUCCUCUCCCUAAUAGUGUUCUUUAUUAAUAUCCUAACACUCCUCGUCCCCAUUCUAAUCGCCAUAGCCUUCCUAACAUUAGUAGAACGCAAAAUCUUAGGGUACAUACAACUACGAAAAGGCCCUAACAUUGUUGGUCCAUACGGCAUUUUACAACCAUUUGCAGACGCCAUAAAAUUAUUUAUAAAAGAACCAAUACGCCCUUUAACAACCUCUAUAUCCUUAUUUAUUAUUGCACCUACCCUAUCACUCACACUAGCAUUAAGUCUAUGAGUUCCCCUACCAAUACCACACCCAUUAAUUAAUUUAAACCUAGGGAUUUUAUUUAUUUUAGCAACAUCUAGCCUAUCAGUUUACUCCAUUCUAUGAUCAGGAUGAGCCUCAAACUCCAAAUACUCACUAUUCGGAGCUUUACGAGCCGUAGCCCAAACAAUUUCAUAUGAAGUAACCAUAGCUAUUAUCCUUUUAUCAGUUCUAUUAAUAAAUGGAUCCUACUCUCUACAAACACUUAUUACAACCCAAGAACACAUAUGAUUACUUCUGCCAGCCUGACCCAUAGCCAUAAUAUGAUUUAUCUCAACCCUAGCAGAAACAAACCGGGCCCCCUUCGACCUGACAGAAGGAGAAUCAGAAUUAGUAUCAGGGUUUAACGUAGAAUACGCAGCCGGCCCAUUCGCGUUAUUCUUUAUAGCAGAGUACACUAACAUUAUUCUAAUAAACGCCCUAACAACUAUUAUCUUCCUAGGACCCCUAUACUAUAUCAAUUUACCAGAACUCUACUCAACUAACUUCAUAAUAGAAGCUCUACUACUAUCAUCAACAUUCCUAUGGAUCCGAGCAUCUUAUCCACGCUUCCGUUACGAUCAACUUAUACAUCUUCUAUGAAAAAACUUUCUACCCCUAACACUAGCAUUAUGUAUGUGACAUAUUUCUUUACCAAUUUUUACAGCGGGAGUACCACCAUACAU